AAAGGUCUGGGUAAUCUUGUGNAACCUUGUCGUGCUGGGGAUAGAGCAAUGCRAUUAYUGCUCUUCUUCGWGGAAUACNUAGUAAGCGCAAGUCMUCAGCUUGCGUCGAUUACGUCCCUGCCCUUKGUACACACCGCCCGUCGCUACUACCGAUUGAAUGSCUUAGUGAGGUCUCCGGAUUGUACUUUGGGGAGCCGGCAACGGCAUA
rnacentral:rRNA from 1 species